GGCGGGUGACGUGCGCGCCCCGCGGAGGCCGAAGCGGCGCGGGCGGCCGAGGGGCAGCGGGGCCCGCCUCUGAGUCUUGAGGUGGAAGAGGGCCUUCACGGUGGGCUUUUCACGUCCGGAGACUGUGUCCGAGGAGGUCAAGCACGUGAGAGUGCUUUGUAACCGGAAGGUGCCUUUCAAAAAAGAACGAACUGCACAAGGUCCAGCAUUUCACCUUGUAUGACUUAAAAUGUAACAACCAAUUGUUAAUAUGCAGCUCCAGAUUUGCUCCUGCUACCUGGUAGGAUGGAACACCUGACCAUGGGACAUCAAGUGACCGCAUGAGUAAUCACACCACCCACCGUGAGCUGACGUUGUCUGAUUCCCAAGACCGCACAGCUGGAUGAGCACAGAGCAGUCCGCCCCCUAUUAGACUGGGGACUGGCUGCGGCGGGACUAAACGAGCAGUCGCUAAGUCGUGUCUGACUUUUGUGACCCAUGGACUGUGUAACCUGCCAGGAUCCUCUGUUCAUGGGACUUCCCAGGCAAAAAUACUGGAGUGGGUUGACAUUUCCUUAUCCAGGGGAUCUUCCCAAUCCAGGUAUCAAACCCAUGUCUCCUGCAUUAUUUGUUUUACAUGUGACUAUUAUUCUUAUAAUGAGGCUUCAGUAUUAAUAUAAAUUAGAUCUUUGGUUUUUCAGACCAUGUUUAAUGAGCACUAGGCAUACCCACAGAACCAUCUGCGGUAUCCUGAGUGGAAAUGGGGAGUGAAGAUGGAAAGAACAUGAUAAUCUGAAUGGACAAGGCUUCAGAUUUCAACCCAGGCACCUUCUUAGUUUUACAGACUUAAGAACUACUGGGGAGGAAAAAUAAAAUAUGAAAACCACGUAAAUUUUACAAGCCAAGCUCAGAGCUUGAUGCAUAGUAGAUGUUCAGUAAGUAUCCACUAAAUGAAUUUUGAUUAAAUGUAAACUGCCUCUCACUCCUUUCUACACGUCCUCUUUCUUAAUAAAAAGUUUUCUGUCAUUUGAGUUUCUUGAGAUGGGAAUGAACACUAAUUUUUGAGAACUGUUGAUUUUACACUUUAAAAACAAUUAUACAAUAACAUGGAAAACUUCCCUGACAAAUUCAUUGUCUUCUACCUUAGGCCCUUAAGGAGGCCUUUUUUCCCUUUCUUCGGUUCUUUAGUUUCCCUUUUCAGUGAUCCCACACUUACCUCCUUUUCUCAUGCCCAAUUCAAUCAUUACAUAGCGCUCCUUCCUCUUUUACCAAGAAACCUGAGAAGACUGAUUAUUAACGGCUAGCCUCCUGCUGCCUCUCACCUAAAAUUUAUUUACCCAUUCUAAUCUUCUUGCCUCUAGUCCCUGAUAUGUUUGCAGUGCUAAGGCUUGUCCAACUCUUUGCAACCCCAUAGACUAUAACCCACCAGGUACCUCUGUCCAUGGGAUUUUUCAGGCCAGAAUGCUGGAGUCGUUGCCAUUCCCUUUUCCAGAGGAUUUUCCUGACCCAGGGAUCAAACCUGCAUCUCUUGCAUGUGCUGCUUUGGCAGGUGGAUUCUUUACCACUAGCACCGUCUGGGAAGCCCAGAUACAUUUAUCCCUUUUACAGAAUCGAAUACUGUUUGACCUCCUGCCAUGUCUUGUGAAGAAACUGGCUCCAUCGAUUAAUCUCGCCAUUCUGUUCUGUCUCAUUGGAAAAGACCCUGAUGCUGGGAAAGAUUGAGGGGAGGAGGAGAUGGGGGCAACAGAGGAUGAGAUGGUUGGAUGGCAUCGCCAAUUCAAUUGACAAGAAUUUGAGCAAACUCCAGGAGAUAGCGAAGGACAGGGAAGUCUAGCUGCAGCCCAUGGGGUCACACAGUCAGACAUGACUUAGUGACUGAAUAACAAAAACCACCUUUGAUCCUGAGUUCCUCUUACCUAAUACCCUAUUUCCAAUUUCCUGUCUUGGCCAAGCUCUCCAUUUUUUCUCAUUCCAUUCAGUUCCCAACACCACUUCACUCAGUGACAAAUCUUAGUUGAAAAAUUUCUAAUCCCUAGUAUAUAUGAAACUUCUAUACCUUGUGACACUUGAUAUUUUGAGUAGGUGGUCAAAUAUUUUUUAGAUGAAUAAACUGGAAUCCGUGAAGGAAAAAGUCACAAGGUCAGACUCAACAAAUUCAACAUUAGGUAUGUGAUAAAAGGGUUUGUAUAACCUCUAUAUCAGUGUUUCUCAAACUAGAAUAUUUGAAUUCUUUACCAGAUAUUUUCCCUCAUGUUGUGAUUUAUUUCAUUAAUCUACAGAAAGUAAUAUAAAUGUUGUCCAGAUCACCUUGAUCCCACUUACAGCUUAGUACUACCAGGUGAUUCCAGAGCCUGUGUCAUGUUUAGGUUUAUGAUCUUGUUAGUAACAUGAAACAGUGCUUUGCCUUAGGCAAAUGAGAACAGACAUAGAUAACAGUUGCUUAUUUCUGGCCAUCAGUGAAAUGACAUCAGUGAAAGAAUGAACAAGGUCUCCUAAAGUUUCUAGUAGAGAAAGCUGGUCACUAUCUAUAGAACACAGCAGUUAGUUAUGCCAAAUAUAAAAGAACCUAAAUUGUAACAGCUCUAUAUUUGUUUCAAGAGGUGAUUUAAUUUGUAAAGAAAAAAAUAAAAAUCAAGUAGCACAUAAAUAUUAAUUUUAUUAGUUUACCUUUUCCCACAUUUAAUAUGUAAACUUAGCAUAAAGUUUAUAUCAAGUAUUUUUUAUUGUAGUAUUAUGUUAUCAUCAUCUUAUGUAUUUGUGUGUGUGUGUAUAUAUAUAUAUAUGACUUUAUUAUUACAUUCUAAUAAAUAAUUGUAGGGGAAACCUCAAAUUUUUUUUCUUAAGGUCAGCUCUACCCAUUAAAUACCCUGUACUAUGUGUCUUUACUGCAGUUUAGUUCAGUUAAGUCGCUCAGUCGCGUCUGACUCUUUGAGACACCAUGGCCCACAGCACUCCAGGCUUCCCUGUCUGUCACCAACUCCCACAGCCUGCUCAAGCCCAUGUCCAUUGAGUUGGUGAUGCCAU